rnacentral:rRNA from 1 species
AUUGAACGCUGGCGGCAGGCUUAACACAUGCAAGUCGAGCGAGCGGCGGACGGGUGAGUAAUGUCUGGGAAACUGCCUGAUGGAGGGGGAUAACUACUGGAAACGGUAGCUAAUACCGCAUACCAUCAGAUGUGCCCAGAUGGGAUUAGCUAGUAGGUGGGGUAAUGGCUCACCUAGGCGACGAUCCCUAGCUGGUCUGAGAGGAUGACCAGCCAAGCGGGAACGGAGACACGGGCCAGACGCCUACGGGGGGCAGCAGUGGGGAAUUUGGAACAAGGGGCGAAAGCGUGAUGCAGCCAUGCCGCGUGUGGGAAGAAGGCCUUCGGGUUGUAAAGCACUUUCAGCGAGGAGGCGUUACUCGCAGAAGAAGCACCGGCUAACUCCGUGCCAGCAGCCGCGGUAAUA